AAAGUCCUAACCAGAGACAUGGUUAAUGUGUAUGUGUUGGUAUUACGGUUGCUGUCCUUUCAGACACUGAAGGCACUGAAGGCCUAUAGGUUCAACACUGUACUAACAUGUAACACACUGAAGACCUAUAGGUUCACCACUGUACUAACCUGUCACACACUGAAGACCUAUAGGUUCACCACUGUACUAACCUGUCACACUGAAGACCUAUAGGUUCACCACUGUACUAACCUGUCACACACUGAAGACCUAUAGGUUCACCACAGUACUAACCUGUCACACACUGAAGACCUAUAGGUUCACCACUGUA